rnacentral:rRNA from 1 species
UACAGAGACUGCGAGCGUUAUUCGGAUUCACUGGGCGUAAAGGGCUCGUAGGCGGUUUGUCGCGUCGGGAGUGAAAACGCCGUGCUUAACACGGCGCUUGCUUUCGAUACGGGCAGACUAGAGGUAUGCAGGGGAGAACGGAAUUCCUGGUGUAGCGGUGAAAUGCGCAGAUAUCAGGAGGAACACCGGUGGCGAAGGCGGUUCUCUGGGCAUUACCUGACGCUGAGGAGCGAAAGUGUGGGGAGCGAACAGG